ensembl:misc_RNA Y_RNA Y RNA
GGCUGGACCAAUGGUAGUAGGUUAUCAGAACUUAUUAACAUUAGUGUCACUAAAGUUGGUAUACAACCCCCCACUGUUAAAUUUGACUGGCUUUAA